rnacentral:rRNA from 1 species
AGAGUUUGAUCCUGGCUCAGAACGAACGCUGGCGGCGUGGAUAAGACAUGCAAGUCGAGCGCUGAUUACGAGGUAGCAAUAUUUCGUAGUUGGAGCGGCGCAAGGGUGCGUAACACGUGGGUAAUCUGCCAUGAAGUUUGGGAUAACUCGCUGAAAGGCGAGCUAAUACCGGAUGUGAAGAUUGGAAGGCAUCUUUUGAUCUUCAAAGCUGGGGACCGUAAGGCCUGGCGCUUCAUGAUGAGCCCGCGGCCUAUCAGCUAGUUGGUGAGGUAACGGCUCACCAAGGCUAAGACGGGUAGCUGGUCUGAGAGGACGACCAGCCACACUGGAACUGAGACACGGUCCAGACACCUACGGGUGGCAGCAGUCGAGAAUUUUUCACAAUGGGGGAAACCCUGAUGGAGCGACGCCGCGUGGGGGAUGAAUGGCUUCGGCCCGUAAACCCCUGUCAUUCGCGAACAAUGCCUGUGGUCUAAUAAAUCACAGGUUGAUAGUAGCGGAAGAGGAAGGGACGGCUAACUCUGUGCCAGCAGCCGCGGUAAUACAGAGGUCCCAAGCGUUGUUCGGAUUCACUGGGCGUAAAGGGUGCGUAGGCGGUCGGGUAAGUCUGAUGUGAAAUCUCACAGCUUAACUGUGAAACUGCAUUGGAUACUAUUCGGCUUGAGGUCUGGAGGGGGGACUGGAAUUCUCGGUGUAGCAGUGAAAUGCGUAGAUAUCGAGAGGAACACCAGUGGCGAAGGCGAGUCCCUGGACAGGUCCUGACGCUGAGGCACGAAAGCUAGGGGAGCAAACAGGAUUAGAUACCCUGGUAGUCCUAGCCGUAAACGGUGCUUAUUUGCUGUAAAAGGAUCGACCCCUUUUGUGGCGUAGCAAACGCGUUAAAUAAGCCGCCUGGGAAGUACGGUCGCAAGAUUAAAACUCAAAGAAAUUGACCGGGGCCUGCACAAGCCGUUG